rnacentral:tRNA from 1 species
GCGGCCGUGAUGGAACAGGUAGACAUGCCGGGUUUAGGUCCCGGUGGGGUUGAUCCCCCGUGAGGGUUCGAAUCCCUCCGGCCGCA